CUCUCAGUUCGGACUGGAGUCUGCAACCCGACUCCACGAAGCUGGAUUCGCUAGUAAUCGCGCAUCAGCCACGGCGCGGUGAAUACGUUCCCGGGCCUUGUACACACCGCCCGUCAAGCCACGGGAGCCGGGGGUACCUGAAGUGCGUAACCGCGAGGAGCGCCCUAGGGUAAACUGGUGACUGGGCUAAGUCGUAACAAGGUAUC
rnacentral:rRNA from 1 species